AGCUUCGGGAAAAAGCUGCUAUCAAGGAGGAGAAAAAGUCUGAAGAGUUGCAAGGAAAGGGUAAAGAGAGUGAAACUGUUGAUUCCCUUCUCAAGCUUUUAAGGAAACACUCAGUUCAGAAAGGGAAGAAAACCAGUAGCAGUAGAAGUAGCAACUUUGUCCUUGACCAGCCAGAUAAGAGCAAUGUAUUCUCUGAAGAGAGAGCUAGCAAUCUCACUGAACUAAAUAGCAAUGUGAACCAUGUGGCACAAGAAAGUGGCACCCCAUUUGUUAACCGACCUAAGUCAAACUUCCAGCGUAGAUCUCCAGUUCCGCGAAUCAAAUUUCAGCCUAUUUAUCACGAGGGAGGUACUGAUAACCCUGUUGCCUCUUCUGCUACAGAUAAGAUGGAAAAUGACAUACAUCUGGACCUUGAACUUGGGCAAAUUCCCAGAAGUAAGGUUGAUUCUGACACUGAGACUAUUUUCUCAGAUAAGCAUGUGUUCGAUGAGAUGGCUGAUGAUGAUACUUCCAAAAUGUAUGGAAGUGUUG
rnacentral:misc_RNA from 1 species